UUGAUCCUACGGGAAGCAGCAGUGAGGAAUAUUGCACAAUGGGGGAAACCCUGAUGCAGCAACGCCGCGUGAAGGAAGACGGUUUUCGGAUUGUAAACUUCUGUUCUUAGUGAAGAAGAAUGACGGUAGCUAAGGAGCAAGCCACGGCUAACUACGUGCCAGCAGCCGCGGUAAUACGUAGGUGGCAAGCGUUGUCCGGAAUUACUGGGUGUAAAGGGAGCGCAGGCGGGAAGGCAAGCCAGCUGUGAAAACUACGGGCUUAACUU
rnacentral:rRNA from 1 species